GGAUGUCAGGGUGACCUCACUGCAACAUCUGUCACCCCAUUGAUUGCCAGGUUGAGUCGGCUGAUCUGGCUGGCUAGGCAGGUGGCCCCCUCCUCCCUCCCUGGUCCCCCACACUCCGUAGGAGAGGAAGACCUUCCCCCCAGGGGAGGGUACCGGCCUUCGGUCAAGGGUAUACUAGUAGCUGUGCUCUCCUGCUAGAACCUUCAAACAAGCUCUCAGUGGUGAUCAACAUGGCUAAUCUUACUGGUCCCCAACAAUUCUCAUUUCCCAUUGAAUAAAU
rnacentral:snRNA from 1 species